AGUUUGAUCCUGGCUCAGAACGUACGCUGGCGGCACGCCUAACACAUGCAAGUCGAACGAAGUAGCAAUACUUAGUGGCGAACGGGUGAGUAUAAUGUGGGUAUCUGCCCUUUGGUUUGGAAUAACACGAGGAAACUUGUGCUAAUACCGGAUAAGCCUUCACAGGGAAAGCUUUACGCGCCAAAGGAUGAGUCCGCACUUGAUUAGCUAGUUGGUAAGGUAAAGGCUUACCAAGGCUACGAUCAAUAGCUGAUCUGAGAGGAUGAUCAGCCACAUUGGGACUGAGACACGGCCCAAACUCCUACGGGAGGCAGCAGUGGGGAAUCUUGCACAAUGGGGGAAACCCUGAUGCAGCGAUGCCGCGUGAGUGAAGAAGGCCUUUGGGUUGUAAAGCUCUUUCGUCGGGGAAGAAAAUGACUGUACCCGAAUAAGAAGGUCCGGCUAACUUCGUGCCAGCAGCCGCGGUAAUACGAAGGGACCUAGCGUAGUUCGGAAUUACUGGGCUUAAAGAGCUCGUAGGUGGUUAGAAAAGUUAGUGGUGAAAUCCCAAGGCUUAACCUUGGAACUGCCACUAAAACUUUUAACUAGAGUGUGAUAGAGGUAAGCGGAAUUUCUAGUGUAGAGGUGAAAUUCGUAGAUAUUAGAAAGAACACCAAUUGCGAAGGCAGCUUUCUGGAUCAUUACUGACACUGAGGAGCGAAAGCAUGGGUAGCGAAGAGGAUUAGAUACCCUCGUAGUCCAUGCCGUAAACGAUGUGUGCUAGACGUUGGAAAUUUAUUUUUCAGUGUCGCAGCAAAAGCGUUAAGCACACCGCCUGGGGAGUACGACCGCAAGGUUAAAACUCAAAUGAAUUGACGGGGACCCGCACAAGUAGUGGAGCAUGUGGUUUAAUUCGAAGAUACGCGCAGAACCUUACCAACACUUGACAUGUUUGUCGCGACUCUAAGAGAUUAGAGUCUUCGGUUCGGCCGGACAAAACACAGGUGCUGCAUGGCUGUCGUCAGCUCGUGUCGUGAGAUGUUGGGUUAAGUCCCGCAACGAGCGCAACCCUUACUUUUAGUUGCUACCAUUCAGUUGGGCACUCUAAAAGAACUGCCAGUGAUAAGCUGGAGGAAGGUGGGGAUGACGUCAAGUCCUCAUGGCCCUUACGUGUUGGGCUACACACGUGCUACAAUGGUACUUACAAUGAGAUGCAAAGAGGCAACUCUAAGCUAAUCCCAAAAAAGUACCUCAGUUCGGAUUGCACUCUGCAACUCGAGUGCAUGAAGCUGGAAUUACUAGUAAUCGUGGAUCAGCGCGCCACGGUGAAUACGUUCCCGGGUCUUGUACACACCGCCCGUCACACCAUGGAAGUUGGUUACACCUAAAGGCAAAAUGUUAACCUUCGGGAAACAUUUGACCACGGUACGACCAACAACUGGGGUGAAGUCGUAACAAGGUAACC
rnacentral:rRNA from 1 species